GGAACUGUGGCUUAAUGGCAAAGCAUCUGUUUUUCAUGCAGAGGGUCUCAGGUUCAGACCCUAGUAUCUCUA
rnacentral:tRNA from 1 species